UAAUACGGAGGGAGCCAGCGUUGUUCGGAAUUACUGGGCGUAAAGCGCGCGUAGGCGGCUUUGUAAGUUAGAGGUGAAAGCCCGGGGCUCAACUCCGAAAUUGCCUUUAAGACUGCAUCGCUAGAAUCCGGGAGAGGUGAGUGGAAUUCCGAGUGUAGAGGUGAAAUUCGUAGAUAUUCGGAAGAACACCAGUGGCGAAGGCGGCUCACUGGACCGGUAUUGACGCUGAGGUGCGAAAGCGUGGGGAGCAAACAGGA
rnacentral:rRNA from 1 species